GUCUGGUCUGUGUGUGGUGGGAUUUGGGGUUUAGCACACACAGCUCUCUGGGUCCUUCAAAACAAAAUUACAAAUGCAAUUGGUUCAAGGUAAAUUUUUUUCUUUUGAGACCCAGUCGUGUAUCUCACGCUGGCCUUGAACUUGUUAUAUAGCUGAGAAUGACCUUGAACGUCUGACCCUCCUAACUCUUCCUUCUAAGAUUACAGGUGUGCUCCAUCCAGCCUGGUUUCUGCACCAUUGGGCCAGAAUGCAGGGUUUUAUCGAUGCUGACCAAGCUAGUGAAUUAGAAUGACACCCGGCAUCACAAUCCAUUUACAAAAAUUAAAAGCUGAGGAAAAACCAUAAAAGCUUAUUUUGGGGAGAAGGGGCCCCAACCCUUUGCAGGAAAGGUGAAUUGGGGAGGGCGCUGGGGGCUGCCUGUUUAUUCUACACUUUUCAUGCCUCUUCACCAGGCCAGACUAGAAUAAAAGCUUUUUUAACAUCAACUCUUCAGUAAAUUAUUUGAUACAUGCUCAGUGUUUAUUUACUGUACUUCAGGGGCUGUAGACACUGACUAUAUAAAUGAUAAUUCUGAAACACCAUUUUCUAUAAUAUAAUAAUAUUAUAGAAAAUUCAGUUUUUUUCCUGCCACCACUGUCUCACUUACUGUUGUUAUUAUUUUUUUUUAGAGAAAAAAAUGUUCAGCUUUAAAACUCUCUCUAGCUACUACUAUAUAAACUUUUAGGUUUACUGUAAAAUUUGGGGAAAUCUAUCAAGUUUCUUUCAUUUAAGAAUUACAAGAUUUCAGGGUAUUUCAAGUUUUCCUGAAAACUCUUGGGUCUUAUUGGCAUUCUUUUACAGAUUUAUUAGCUUUUUAAUUAAUUUACAAUUUGAUUUACAACGUAAUUUAAUUUACAAUUAAUUAAUUUGUGUGGGUGUUACUGGGGAAAUGAACCCAGGGCCUUAAGCUUUACUGCUGCCUUGUCUCUUCAGCCACUGGUUUAUUGUUGAUGUCCUAGAUUCAGCCACACCGUAUGUAUUUCACAUCACUGUUGGUGAGGUGACAGUAUUGGAGAUGUGUAAAAUAGAUCACUGUACCCAAUAAUAUAUUCAGUACUAGUGGUAGCACUGCAAGCUCAUGUCAGAUAAACACAGGGACUUAAAGCAUGCUAUUUCAGGUGAUUCCCUCAAGAGAGAAAAAUGCAGGACACACUGAUAAAGGCAUACGGUAUAGGAAGUGGAUUUCUCAUGGGCGUGAGGUUUCAUGUUGACUGGACAUCACUGAAUAUCUAAAUUCCCACUUAUAGUUUUUUGUGUAUGAUUCCAGGACCCAGACUUUUGGCCGUAUUGUUUUGAGACAGGCCCAUGCUAGCCUCCAAAACUCGUAAUUCUCCUGACUCAGUUUCCCAAGUCUAAGAUUACAGAUGAAAGUAUGUGUCUCACUGGGUCCAUAGGUUGUUUUUUUUUUAAUUAAUUAAUUAAUUAGUGAUUCUUUAGUCCAUGGGUGUUUUGCUGAUGUAUAUGCUCGUACGCCACAUACCCAUGUGCCUGGUGUCCAUGGAGAGCAAAAGAGAGUGUUGAAUUCCCUGGAGUUGGAAUUCUAGACAGUGUGAGAUACCAUGUGGGUGCUGGGAAUCUAAUCCAGGUCCUCUGGAAGAGCAGCAAACUGUUUUUGACUUGCUCAGCCAUUUCUUUCUCAGCCUGGAUCCAUAGAUUUUAGGAUGGGCUUCCCUUUACUAUAGGAUGCCACAGGAGCAAUGCAUUUCUCCUUAGAAGCUUGGGUCACAAACCAUAUGCCCUGAUUCAGAGACUUAAGAGAGUGGGCAGCUGUCCUAAGAACCAUAUGUAUUCCAGGAUGGACAGCUGUCUGUCUGUGCAGAAAACACUGUGCACCAUAGAAGUGGAUACCAUUAUACUUAAACAAACUACAUCCUCAACUCAGUAUCCCAAAACCAUAUCCCUAGAUACCCACACUUCUCUAAAGCCACUCUGGAUCAGGCCAGUAUGAAGUCAGAGGGAAAACGGUGGUCUUGAUUUUAAUUAAAUUAGAAGGAAAGUGACCAUGUAAAAGCAAACCAGAUGUUGUGACUCACUCCCAUACUCCUAGCGCUUGGGAGGCUGAUGCAGCAGGGUUGUCUGUGGUCAGCCUGGGCUACACAGAGAAUUCCAGGCCAGCAUGGGCUAUAGAGUGAGACCUUGUCUCAACUAACAAGCAAAUAAAAAUUGUUACGGUCUGUCCCAAGGUCGUGAGAGGAGUCUGUGCAGUAAGGGGCAUGUUCAUGUAAAUCAUGAGCACAUCAGAUAAAGUCCACUUCUAGGGAGAUAAAAGUUUCUAGCUUCGUUUUCUUGGUUUAGGCCCCAUCAAUAGACCGCAUUUCCUGUUUGGUUUUUUUUUUUUUUUUUUCUACAUAAGCAAAUAUUUGUUGAUUAUUGACGGGGCCCCGGGUGCUAGGGAGAGCGCUAAAUGAUCACAAUUCUUGGCCUCUCGAGCUUAUGCUUCAGCUAAAAGAUACACAUUAAUCAAAUUAAGAGCCACACUUCAGAUGAAUGUCACAGCAAGGUUUCUUUGGGGGUUGUUCCUGCCAUACGCAAACCAAACCAAUUAUCGCGAUUUGCUCACAUGAGAGCACGGGCUAUGAAUGCCGGGAGCCCCAAGUGGAAAGUCCCUGGGAGCCGGUCUUCUGGACUUCGGCUCUCUCAGGAAGAAGAUCUAGCCACAUCUUCCCUAGCACACACUGAUAUUUCCUUCCCCCUGGCUUAGACUUGCUGGGCACAGGAGACAGGAAAAGACUGCCUACCGAGCAAGGCUUCUUCCCGUAGGUAGGAGGGAAACCCCGGAUGUUGGUUGAGGGAGGCUGAAGCAAGACCCUGAGGCAUCCCGAGACAGGCGUCUACAUUCAUUCUCUCCACGUCUCACUUCCAAUUUACUAUCGCUCUGUAGCGUCUAGCUCCUGCAGCUGAAAUCAUGGCUGCCAAAUGUGACAGCGGUGGCUGCUCUGCCUCUUGUCCCUGCCCUUCCUGCUUCAGGUAGGAAGCUGUCAGUACCUGUACUCAUUGGCCUUGAGAUUUCCUCUUGCAGCCUCAUUGGCUGCACUGAUCGGACUGGAAAUGUCAGUGAAUCCAGACCUUCAGCUGAGGAGCUGGGAGAACCUGUAUGCAACCACCUGGGCUCCCUCUGCCCUUUGGAGGGGUAACUGUGAGGAGAGAGUCUUGCGUGGCUUCCAGGUUUUGUGAUGAGAUUAAACUGUAGUUGCCCACA